GUCCACGCCGUAAACGAUGAGUGCUAGUUGUUGGGCUAUCCAGCCCUAAGUGACGCAGCAAACGCAUUAAGCACUCCGCCUGGGGAGUACGACCGCAAGGUUGAAACUCAAAGGAAUUUACGGGGGCCCGCACAAGCGGUGGAGCAUGUGGUUUAAUUCGAAGCAACGCGAAGAACCUUACCAGGUCUUGACAUACUCGUGCUAUUCCUAGAGAUAGGAAGUUCCUUCGGGACACGGGAUACAGGUGGUGCAUGGUUGUCGU
rnacentral:rRNA from 1 species